rnacentral:rRNA from 1 species
UACGUAGGGUGCAAGCGUUGUCCGGAAUUAUUGGGCGUAAAGGGCUCGUAGGCGGUUUGUCGCGUCGGGAGUGAAAUCCACUGGCUUAACUGGUGGCUUGCUUUCGAUACGGGCAGACUGGAGGCAUGCAGGGGAGAACGGAAUUCCUGGUGUAGCGGUGAAAUGCGCAGAUAUCAGGAGGAACACCGGUGGCGAAGGCGGGUCUCUGGGCCGAUACUGACGCUGAGGAGCGAAAGCGUGGGGAGCGAACAGG